AUUUUCAGGGAAACAGGGUAUUUACAAAAAAAUCAGAACAAUAUAGAGAAGAUUAGCAUGGUCCCUGCACAAGAAUGACGUGCAGUAAACAUUCAAGCAAUAUCCGGUGCUU